CAUUAUUUCAUUUUACACUUUCAGACCCCAGAUUCGUACGGGUCAAUGUUAGAAUUGUCCUGGCGUGGAUCUAAACCAAUUCCACUUGCUCCUGGGAUUGAGCGAAAAUUUCUUCAAGAUGGUGACGAGGUCAUAAUGGGCGCGCAUGCGCAAGGAGAUGGAUACGUGAUUGGAUUUGGUAGUUGUGAAGGAAAAAUCUUGCCCGCUCUGAACUUUCCCUGAAGUAUGGCGAAAAACAGAACACAACUUUAAUGACUUGCACUUCCCAUGCAUGAGGUAAGUGCUUAUAUCAGUUUUUUAAAAAUUAACUAAAAUGCGAAAGUGAUGUAUUAAUCGAUAAUCUAAUAAGUAGUGAAACAAUAAAAUAUGCAGACAUAUUUUCGAUCGCUACCCUGGUUCGAGUAAUCAAUAAGCCAAUUCGGAGUUUCGACUGCGCAUCCAAAU